ensembl:rRNA 5S_rRNA 5S ribosomal RNA
GUCUGUGGCCAUACCACCCUGAAUGUGCUCGAUCUCAUCUGAUCUCAGAAGCUGAGCAGGGUCGAGCUUGGUUAGUACUUGGAUAGGAGAAAUCAAUUUUAUAUAAU